GAGUGAUCGAAGUGGCUGCUGUCGUCGCUGAUAAGCAAACACACAAACUAAAGCGACAAUCGUUCGCUGCGAUCAACCAUGGAGUAGCAAUUAUGAAUUGUGUUGCCAUCUAUACUCAUACUCAUGCAGUGUUGCCAAAUGUGCUCGUUAUGUAUAAAAAACAGAAAUCAUUUGUUUUUAUUUGGUGUUAUCUAUUUACGAAAGCUUUCGUGUAAAUUAGAUGUUUACAAUAAAAAUGACAUGUGUGGCAACACUUCCAUCUACAACAUCGUUGAAAUGAAUAAAAUGACAAUUGAAAUGAAUUUCACAAUAGAUACAUUUUAUAUUUUAACAAUUUAUCCUCAUCUUUUCCAAUAAACCAAUUUUUUAUUGCUAACUAUCAAACUAACAAUAACUGUCAAUUAUCGGGUCAUUUUGUCAUAUAGGAUCAUAAAUAAACAAGAAAACACAGACAGACGUAACAUUGGAAAAAAUUCCAACGACCACGAUUUUAACGAUCUUUUUAAGCCUUUCUAGUUGUAGCUUUCACAACCAGAGGUGCACACAUCAUUAUUCUAAGCGUUUCACCACCGACGAAGAUACAGACGGAGCAGUAAUCGUUUUUUUCGGUACCACUUUUAUUUUCACCCUUUGGUACACUCAGAAAUAUAUUUAUUCGGAGAAGGUUUAAAAUUUAAUCAAUUUUGUCAUUCUUGAAGUUUACACAUAUCCUAGUAUAAGAUGUAUACUGAGUUGGUAUACGAAGUUAUACUGAUUCAGUAUUACAUUAGAUUAUUUUUACCGACGUAUACAUGCAGUCCACAACGGUUUCAAUCAAUAAAAAGGAAUAUUUAUAAGAUAACAAUAAAAUUCAAUUUUCGCAGUCAUCAUUGCUAAAAGGAAUCCGUGACUGAAAGUGGCCGUUCCUGCGGUUCAUCUUGGGUGGAUUUUACACAAUGUUGGUGGUGGAAAAGAUCGGCAAGUUGGGAGAAAUAGUGGCGGUGGCGGUCGAAAGGAUUCCCUUGCGGUUGCGAUCGGAAAACAAUCAGGUGGUGCUGCAUUUGUACCCCCGGAAUCGAGACGCCAAAACGAUCGGUAAGAGCACAUCGUCGAGUGUAGCCGGAACAUCAUCAUCGGAUGCGUAGAGGAACUCACAUUUUCUGAGCACGUCUGAAGUAAAAUGUUCAGUCGGAGCAGCGGACAGUGCGCCAAAAUCGACAUGGUCUGCCUGUUGCUGCCGAUGGAGUUCGUUACUGGUGGUCAACUUGCUUGGAUUCGGUGACGGGGAUAACUGCCAUCUGUGACACUGACCUCCGGAGACAACUAAAUUGAUUGCAUUGUAUGUAGUGAAUAAAAUCUUGAUCUAAAUUGUAAGUUUA